UACGAAGGGGGCUAGCGUUGCUCGGAAUCACUGGGCGUAAAGCGCACGUAGGCGGCUUCUUAAGUCAGGGGUGAAAUCCUGGAGCUCAACUCCAGAACUGCCUUUGAUACUGAGGAGCUUGAGUCCGGGGAGAGGUGAGUGGAACUGCGAGUGUAGAGGUGAAAUUCGUAGAUAUUCGCAAGAACACCAGUGGCGAAGGCGGCUCACUGGCCCGAUACUGACGCUGAGGCACGAAAGCGUGGGGAGCAAACAGG
rnacentral:rRNA from 1 species